AACAGGAUUAGAUACCCUGGUAGUCCAUGCCGUAAACGAUGAUUACUAAGUGUUGGAGGGUUUCCGCCCUUCAGUGCUGCAGCUAACGCAUUAAGUAAUCCGCCUGGGGAGUACGACCGCAAGGUUGAAACUCAAAAGAAUUGACGGGGGCCCGCACAAGCGGUGGAGCAUGUGGUUUAAUUCGAAGCUACGCGAAGAACCUUACCAGGUCUUGACAUCUUCUGACAGUCUAAGAGAUUAGAGGUUCCCUUCGGGGACAGAAUGACAGGUGGUGCAUGGUUGUCGUCAGCUCGUGUCGUGAGAUGUUGGGUUAAGUCCCGCAACGAGCGCAACCCUUAUUACUAGUUGCCAGCAUUAAGUUGGGCACUCUAGUGAGACUGCCGGUGACAAACCGGAGGAAGGUGGGGACGACGUCAAAUCAUCAUGCCCCUUAUGACCUGGGCUACACACGUGCUACAAUGGAUGGUACAACGAGUCGCGAGACCGCGAGGUUAAGCUAAUCUCUUAAAACCAUUCUCAGUUCGGACUGUAGGCUGCAACUCGCCUACACGAAGUCGGAAUCGCUAGUAAUCGCGGAUCAGCAUGCCGCGGUGAAUACGUUCCCGGGCCUUGUACACACCGCCCGUCACACCAUGAGAGUUUGUAACACCCAAAGCCGGUGGGGUAACCUUUUAGGAGCUAGCCGUCUAAGGUGGGACAGAUGAUUAGGGUGAAGUCG
rnacentral:rRNA from 1 species